ensembl:lncRNA
AGUAUCCUGGAUUACAAACAAGACGUCAAGCAGUGGAUCACACUCUCAAAGAUCAGGGAGGCUUCAAUUUCUGUAGCACACCGAGUGUGAAACACUUAAAAAGUAAGUAUCUGCCAUGUCUACAAGUAAUUCAAAGUAAACACCAAUGCGUUCCCAUUCAGGCAGACUUACGGCCUUGGCUUUAGGUCUUCCUUUGUUUCCUCUUUGUUUUCCAGGCACUUAUCUCCCGCUAAAGGCUUUAGAAGGCCUCACUCUUCAUGAACUGCAGUAAGCACCACUCUUCCCCAAUAGAGAUGAUUUUCAGGAAGUGCGUUGAAGUGUAUAAUCAGUUUCCCUACAUAUCUGCAGGGUUAAGCAAAUUUUAGAUGAGGAGGGGAGUGAAGUAACCUUUUAGAGAUGGAAGCUGCUACCACUCUCCACGUACUGCAAAUAUAUUCCCCUGGGGCGUAGGGUGGCACUGUUCUUAGCCAUGAGUGCCCACUGGCAGACUGAACCAGGUGCUAUCACCCCGAUUUCUUCAGCUUUCUCUCAUUUCAUUCAGCAGUUUUCAGUCGUAUUCACUUCUCAUCACCUAAAGGUGAAGGUAACAGCUAGACAAAAAGAGGGGACUGAUGAAAAGCCCAGCCCCACCAUGCCAAAGCUCAGAGAAGGCCAUAUGUAGCAGUUUAGUACUGGUUUGUAGGCACAUUGCUCCAUAAUUGUUAGUCCUCAUGUUGCCCACACAUCUGGUGUUCCUGUCAUCUGUCUUUUCCCUUUCCAUUCCAAGGACAGACAGACCUCAGUUGCUGAGUGUUGCCUCGGUGUAAAAUAACACGUGGUGCUUGUGGUGUGGGAAGGAAGCUGGCUGUGAGAGAUAAAAGUUGAGGUUAAAAGCAGACCUACUGUUAUGCUCCUGGGGUUUUGCUGCUCUUUGUAUAACCUUGGUGUGGCUGAGCGAUACAGAUCAGCACUACCUAUUCUGAUAAAAUCCAUCCACCAGAGGCAAGAAGCAGCCCUACCUCCACUUCUUUUUGGAGUUAUUGCUGCCCUGGCAUUCCAAAGGAUGGCUCAAAGGUUAGUUUUCCAUUACGUUUCCUAAAGACAGUGACCAAGUUUGAUUACGGCUCAGAGACUUAGAAAGGAAACUGAAGAAGAAAUAUAUCAGAGGAGCUGCAAGAAAGAAAAGCCUGCUGGGAAAUUCCAAGAUUGCCACAAAACAAAGAACAGUCACUGAGAAUGUUUGUGCAAAACCACCAUCUUCUCCUUCCUUCCCACAAGGACUACUGCAACUCACUUUGAAAGAGAAAGAUAGAUUCAGACAGCAGGAAGCAGUUCACCCAGCUGUCCUGCUCUGCAAAGCCCCACUGCUUUACUUCACCCAAACCAGUAGGCAGGCAGAAAUGCAAAAUCAUACCAUUUGCGACCUACAGAAACAAAGCUCAGUGUUUGCAUGGGUGGGGGAGAGAUAUAAUCAAGCUUGUCACCAAAUGGAACAAAUGCAGGGUAUAAAUGGUCUGGUUAUUUUAUCUUUCUCCUUUCCCCUCCAUGCAAGCCUCCUAUAAUUCUAAUUGUUUUUCUUUGUAAGAAAUGUAAAUUAUAAAAUAUAAAUGAAGCCCAUCUUAAUUGUGCAUAGUCACAGAGACUGAAACUAAUGGUUCUGAAAAAUGUUGCACCAAAAAUCAAUCCAAUUCUUCAGCAGAUAAUAAUAUUAAAAAUAUACAGGACAGGUAGCAC